rnacentral:lncRNA from 1 species
AACAAAAAUCUGGGCAGGGGAAGACAGCAAGAACAGGGGGAAAAACUGGGGAAAUUGAGGGAGAUUUUGAGCGGAAAAAAGGGAGAAAUCUAGAAAAGGGCGGCGAGGGUUGAAAAAGCUGGAGGAGGAGAACAACAGCGGCUAAAGGGAGGGGGCUUCAGCUUCAAGGAUCCGAAAGGAAAACGUUCAACCACCACUGCCAAAUUUCCGACAACCUCAACCGCUGCCACCAUCUCUAACUCCCCAUAGCAUAUUCAACAAAUCCCCCAAUCAACCAUGCCUGCCGCCUUGUGCCUCCUUGGUCCACCAGAAUUCCGCUAUGCACAACCGUCGGUCUCCUUCGCGGACAGUGUCGAAAUCACCACCGCCAUACUCUCAGCUAUCUCAAAUCCUUUCUAGACCCUCUCUUCUCCAUCAUCUCUAUUAUGAUGGAUUCAAAUCCAGUAACAGAGGACGCUCCUCAAAUUCAAUCCAUUCCAAACUCCGAUCCUCCACCGUUUGAUCCAAAAGAACCUGCAAUUCCAAUCUCCUGUCCUCUCAAAACGAUGGAAAAGCUCCAGUUCAGGUCCUACUUCGCCCCCUUCCGUUUCCACUUCAAUAAGUCCAGAGUGAAGUUGCAGCAGCAGCAGUCUUCGGCUGCGGCCUUGCUGCAACGGCGGAAGAUGCUGGGGAAGUCAACGUAAAAAGGAAGACAGCGAAGCAAUCAGGGAGGAUACUUCUGAAAGGGAAACGAGAGCGGAUGAAGGAAAACAAACAGAGAAAAGAAAACAGAGGAAAAUGAAAGAUGAGGAGCCAGAAGAACAAAGGCGGCGGACGCGAUGAAAACAGAGCAAAAGAAAGCGACCGAGGAAUCGAGACUGCUACCAUCUCGUAGGAAUCCUUCACCGCCAUCAGCAAAUCGCCGCCGCUCACACAAGAGCUCUGUAAGUUGACCCUUUUUCUUUGAAUUUCAGUUUCUUCCCAAGCUCUCUAAACAUGUCGGCAGUGGUUUCGUUUUAUUGUAAUUGUUCCGCUGAUUGUUCAAAAUUAGCAUACGCAUGCUUUAUAUGAUGAUUGGACUGAAUUUCCUUGAUUUUCUGACAAAUUUUUGGGGCUAGUUAUACUGCAAUUUGAGUAAAAAUCUGGUAAAAUUUUAAUGCCUACAACCUGUUCGAUGAAAUACCUUAUUGGAAAUUCUAAUUGAAAGUUGAUUUGUCUGCAAUUUUGCGUGUGAAGAAUCCGGAUAAGUUAGCCAGUUUCGUUUCCUUGCACUUGGGAGAUUUUGAUGUAUUGGUGUCUUGCACUUUUUCUAUUUUUUUCAUUCCCUUUUGCUUCCUCUUGCACGAAUUUGAUUUUUGUGUGAAGAAGGAGCUUGUGCAAGUUUCCUUUUUCUUUUGGAGUGGCCAGAGAUGAGCUUUCUAGUUUUUCUUCUUUGGCAAAACAGUAGGAAAAAAGCAGCGGAUGGCCAGUCCGUUGGAGAAGACGACUGCUUGGCCAGUUUUACAAUUUCAGUCCCUCCAUUUUCGUCUGCUUUCUAAUUUAACCCCAAACUUUUAGGACUUCAUAAUUUGACCCCAAGAUUUUUAUAAAGGCUUUCAAUUGGGUCCCUGUUACAAUUUACAAAUUGGUCCUUGAGCCUUAUCUUUCCUUCAAUUUUUGCCCCAAAGUUCUAAAAAAAUUGUGAUUAGGCCCUAAAGACUUUCUGCUAUUUGCAAUUUAGUCCUUGGCGGCUUUAAUUUUGUAACUUCAUUGCUUGUUUGCUUCAAUUAACCAACAUGCUUUGUUUAAAUUGCAUUUAAUUCAUAAUUUUAAGGGCUUCAUGACCAACUGAGUUUGUGUUUGCAUAUUUUCUUUAAUUUUCCAAAAUAAAUUGGUGCCCUAACCUUUUCUUUGAUUUUGGAGGGUAAAUAAGUAAAUUUCCUUCACUAGGGCCCCAACUCAAGGGAGGUACACUCUGUCCCUUAUUUUGACCUCAUUUGAUCCUAUGUGCCCUAUGUGACUUUAUGUGCUUAAUUGCAAGUCUUUUGAAUGUUUUCAUUUUAUUUAUUUAUUUACUUUAUUUGUUUUAAUUUUGUAUAUUUAUUUUAGCUCAAUUUGCUUAUUUGAAAGGCAAUUUAAUGCCAAGGUUGUAAUAGUUAGGUUAUUAUUUUAUUUAUUUAUUUCGUUUCCCCUCUUAUAUUGUAGUAGGCUUCCCCUCGAAUGUAAUAGUUAGGGCUUUAUUUGCUUUAUUUCCUUAUGUGUGAUUUGCAUGUCUAUGUGCUAUGUGUUAUCGCUUUCUUAGGGUCUUUUAUCUAGAUAUCAUGCUUAUGUGUUAUGUGCUAUAUGUGAUUUAUGUGUUUACAUGCUUUUAUUAGCUCUUACAUGAUUUAUUUGAUUGUAACCGAUGUGUGACGUCACCACACUAGUCCAAUGCUAGUUGUGGUCAAUUUCUCGAAUCCACACUAGUCCAACGCUAGAUGUGGCCCUUUGUUCCGACUUUUCUUACUAGUCCAAUGCUAGUGGGAAAUUGUAGACAUGGGCUAGUCCAACGCUAGACCCUUAGGGGCCCUUCGAGCGUUAGAUCAUGGUUGUGUGAUAAAAUCACUUCAUCUCAUGCAUGUUUUCACUUUUUAGGGUUUUACCAUGUUGUAUGCCACUUUCUUAUAUAUGUAUAUCCCUUCAUCUAUAUUUUCCCUUAUAUGUACGUUACUUGCCCCCCUUUGUAUGAAACAUGACAUUAGACUGGCAUUUCAUCUAAGCAUUAGAAUUAGGUUAGAUCAUUUGCUUGAUUAGAUUAGGGAUAACCCCUUGAAUAUGGGAUAUGGACGAGUUUGGCUUUUCUAGCCUUAGCACGCUCGUAUUCCCUCUAUUAAAGGGAAAAUUGAGUCACGAACAUUAGUCCCCCGUACCCGACAUGAUGCACUCCUUUAAGACAUGUAACUUUUGUAUAAUUAUUUUAUUUCUUUUCUUAGAGUCUCAUAUUUUUGCAUUAUUCGUGACUUCUUCGAAGAGUCCACAUUGGGCAUCACAAUUAAUGUGAUUGACAUCAAUUGAGCUUUGAAGAGAAAUUUCGACCCCCGAUACCCUCUUAGGUCUAGGGUUUGCAUUCAUAUAGUACAUCCAAAUGUGAUAAAUUUUUAGGUUAAAAUAAGAAAAUCUUUUGACUAAAUCGCGCAACUAGCCUUGGUUAGGUUGAAAGAGUGCUUUGGAUUCUUAUCCUUGCCUUCCCUUUCUUCAAAUGUGACUUCCGAAUCUUUUUCUCUGAUUUUCGUAGACUUGGAGUCGUUUAAAAAGGGGUUUUUCUACUUUUUUUCUUUAAAAAUUUAUUUUUUUGGUGACUUGGUACACCUUAACUCUAUACCAAGUGGCGACUCCAUUUUUCAUUCAAAAAAACCCUUUUUAAACUAUAUUUUGGGUCAAAUCGUCGCAUUUUCAAGUCCCAUUUAGACCCAUAUUUUUCUUCAUUUUCUUUGUAAAUCAAAAUUCAUUUUUCAACUCAAAAAUUCACUUUUUUAAACCAUUUAUUUGUUUUUAUUAAAAAUGGGGCGCAACAGCUGGCGACUCAACUGGGGACUUAGAGAGUCCGAACAUUCGAUUUAGUCGAUUCUUUUCUUCUUUUAACCUUCUUAUAUAUUACAUGUGGAUGUUUAGGGUUGCAUUUUUCCUUUUUUUAGGAUUUUUGCAUUUCGCGCGUAUCAACUCACUCCCUCACCUAUUUUCGUACGAUUGAUUUGAUGGAUGGAUAGUUUAUGUAUGUUAUCCCGCGCUUUGCAUUGCAUUUGGGUGGGGGGAUAUUACCCUAGAGCCUCGCAUUGGUUCUCGAUCCCUCCCCUCCAAAAAGGAGCACUAGCAUACGUGCAUAUGCUUUAUUAUUUAUCCCUCCUUUAUUUUUAUUUUAGUGGCUUGUCACGCCACUCCACCCUAUUAGGAUUAGGCGACCCACUUGGACGUGUGAUCGCGACACGACGUGUGCGUAGCAUGAUCCGAGGGGUCAUUCAAUCUUCCGCUUUAAGCUUUGGGUUAAUAGCCUCUAGCUUUUAGUUGAAGGUUGAGGAUUUUUGAUAGAUUCACUCAGACAUGUAGCCGUAACACGACGUAUGUGUAGCAGUGUCUGGGGAAUCGUUCGAGCCACCGACAAAGAACCUUGGGAUUGAUGACCUUUGGUUUCCAAGUCUGAAGGUUCGGGGACCUCAAACCUAUCGAGUCUAGAUGCAUUAGUGAGCCAAUACCUCAUGCAUCCAUGAUAGUUUACCUAGGGUAGAGUCUGCCUUACCCUAUUAGGGACACUAUUCAUGAGGGGAGGGAUUCAACCCCUCUAUUCCUUUUAUUGCUUUAUCUCUUUGUAUUGUUUUGCUACAAUGUGUUAUGUGUAUUUAUCUGAUUGAACUAACUUUUAUUGGUUUUUGUCUCUAUUGCAUUCAUCAGCCCUAGAAGAUAAGAGUCCUAGCAUGGUACUCUCUAGGAGCCUACCCCGUUUGAUGUGACACGUUUAAAUUCAAUGUUUCGCAUUUGUAACAUGAAUACAUUUCAUUUUAAACUCACCCCGGCAUAUAAAAAGGAGGGUUCCUUUAGGUCACGUUUCAUUUGGUGUAUUGCAUAUUUAGUCGCUUUGAUAAAUUGGCAUCAUGCAUGAGCCAAUAGAGGGAAUGCCAUUUAGGGGAUCCUGUAUUAGAAAUAAACUGCCCUGUAUCUCGGAUGCUUAAUCCAAGGAGACUUGCACGUUUACAUUUUGUACCAUCCAAAGGGGUAGUGCACAAGGUAAGGUAGGAUUCGAUCAUUUUCAUAGAGCGAUCUUUGGAAUAUGAGUAUCUAAUAAUCACUUUUUGGCCACUUUAUCAAAAUUGGUAAAAAUACCUGGCGUAAAGGACAUUAAUUUGAAAAACUUCACCAAUAUUUCCUCACUGUUGAGAUGAUAAAUAAAUUGAGGCCAAAAUUUGAUAUUAGAAGGCUCAUAGACUAAUGCAUCGCAAUAAAUUUUGAACUACCAAUGGAUAGAUUGAUUUUUUUUAAUAAGCUGUCAAUUCCAUUCAAUCCAUUGGACCAUUCUAUUCAUCAAUUUCAUCUAGUCCAUUUUAUCAAUUUGUUCAUUUUUAGGACAACCUAGUCGAUUUUGAAUUCAUUUGACUAGUUUACCCAUUUUAGGGCAAUUUAGUCGAUUUUGAAUAGAUCACCAAUUUCAUUCAAUUCAUUUGAUUAGUUCUUAGGGCACUCUUAUAGAUUUUGAAUAAAUCAUCAAAUUCGUCUGAUCCAUUUGACCAGUUUACCUAUUUUUAGGACAAUUCGGUCGAUUUUGAAUAAAUCAUCAUUUCACUCGAUCCGUUUGAUCAAUUGAUUUCAUUCAAUUGAUUUGAUUAGUUUAAUUCAUUUUCAGGGUUAUCCAUUCAAUUUUCAAUAAAUAAUCAAAUUUCAUUCAAUGCAUUUGACCAUUUUACCUUUUUUGCACAUUAUGUGUUGAUCAAAACAAGCAAUCCAUUCGGACUUUGUCCUCAUUUUUGGGACAAAUGUCUCUUCUCACUCCAAUUGGUCAAAUUUUUCAAAUUAUUUUUCACUCAAUCAGUUGAUCGGAUUCAUCAGGUAUUGUAUGGUGCCUACCCUAGAGGAUUGCAUUUUCAUGCUAGGCCUACCCUUGGCAUAAAAGGGUUCCCCCAUACGACAUGCAUACCGAUUUUAUGAUCUUACUUACUAACUCAGGGUAUUUUUCUUUUGUUUUCCCCCUCCCCUGCAUUCAUAAAAAUGCUUCAAUAAGGUAAAGAAUAUUUUUCUAUAUCUGAUAACAAUUCUGAUCUAAUAAAGUGUGAAAAUUACAAGUAUUAUUUGAUUCUUGGGCAGACCCUGCAAUGAAAACAUGGAGGAUCUAUUUGGAAGCGCUAGGCUAAAGCCUCUAAGAGUCUUCAUCAUUAUUUUUCAAAGAAAAGAAUAAUUCUGUUCCGAAAAGGAGGCAAACAAGUGUGUAUAUGUGGAGCUCUUCAGAAGUCUUUCUCUUCUCAUUUGUAGAAAUUUUGUUUCAAACUUUUUCAGCAAUAAAGUUUUUUAUUUUUGUUGUUUUGUAUAUAAUCAUGUAUAUUUCAUUCUUUUUUGGCUAUUUGAGGGAUUUCAUGAUGAAUUUUAAGAAAUAAGACUAAAUUGGAAUCUUUCAACCUCUAGCUUGAAAUUUCAUAAGUGUAUGCUUUCUAAGAUCUUUAUGUACACUAGAUUGGUGAUCCGAGCUAUGCAAUAAGAGUGCUCAAAAUUAAAAGAGAUCACUCAAAAGGCCCAAUGAGAUACCCUUUUCUCCUCCACUGUACAAUUCAUUAAUUUUGCCCACUUCUAUUAAUCUCAAAGAAAAAUCAGUCACAUUGAUUGAUAAAAUUGCAAAUUGGGGCAAUCUUUGCUUGAAAAUGCCCACUGUGUCUAAUCAGAUUCAAUCCACAUCUAAGUGAUAGCAAAAAUGUACAUUAUUCUUAUUUGUUUUGAAAAUUUGGAAUGAUACUUUAAACAUUCGUUUCUCUAUCCAUACAGAUUUUAUCAUUUGCUCUCCUAUUUGAGCCUUUAAAAGAAUAAUUUCGUUUCAAAUAAGUGCCUUAAUGAUCACUACCCUACAUUGGAAAAAUUUUCAAAAGAGAAUGGGUUCUCAAUGAGCUAUUCUUUACUUUGGUUGUCAUGAGGUGUAAGAAUGAUGUUUUGGCCAUCGUUUCUACAACCUAAACACUGAUUACCUCUUGCAUCCUCAUUUGAGUCAAAAUAGGUGGUUCUUUUCGAAUGCACUUAUGAUCGUACCCCACAUUGGGGAAGGAGAUUUGGGAAUUUUACAAAAAAAAACAAAAAAACAAAAAAAAAGAGAGAAAAACAAAAGAGAGGGGACCACAAAUUGAGAAAAUUUGAUUCUACCUGGGCUUCAAUUUUGGGAAAAAAGAAGAAAGAGAAAAGAAAAGGAAGAGUAUUGUCCGGCAGAUCAUUGUGUUUCACAAAUAUGGAUGAACAGGAGUCUUCGUCAAUCAAUUAAUUCAGAUACGUGCAGGAAAUUUUGCAUUAAUGAAAGUAUUCUUUCAGAGUUAUUGUAAGGAACGGAAUAAAAGUCAGGUCCUCUUCUUUUCCAAUCAAACAUUUUAUCCUUAGUUAUCCCUUUUGAGUUUUCAGAAUAAAAUACUUCAUUUGGCAACCCCUGAGGAUCGCAAGCCCCACACUGGGGCAAGUUUGAGUUGAAAAGGAAAGAAAAGUUUCAAGAGGUGAAAAGUGAUAAAGCGAUGAAAGCAAAAGAAAGGAAAUGGAAGAAAAGAACCUCAGUUAAACCUAAACUGGGGCAAAUUUUGAAAAUUUCAAAAGAAUGGCAGAAAAAAGAAGAAGAAGAAAAUGAAAGAAAAAGCCUCAAUGGAAAAUGAACUGGGGCAAGUUUUUAUUUAACCCUAAAAUAGGGUUGGCACAACAAUGCGAUCUCAGAUUACUUAAACCACUUUUGAAAUCUGCCUUCAAGCCUUAACUUUUCUAAACACCCUACCAGACCCCAUUACAAAAGUCGAAAGUCCUAACUUCUGUUCUUUGCAAUGACCCUGUCAAGAAAAUUUCUGAUGCCAGAAAAUUUUAGCUGUAUUUCUGAAUUGCUUGGAUAUGGGGUUGACACUACUCACCAUGUGAAAACCCACCAGGUCGAGGAAAAGAAAAGAACCAAAAAGCAAUGCAAGAAAAGUAAAUGCAAGAAAAAUGCAAAAAAUUCGACGCUGAAGUCCCUGGUGAAUGAUGAGAAAAAUGCGAACAAAGUCCGAGAUGUUUGAGUACGAAAUGAGAGCAAUUUUGAGAAAAAUGCGAUCUUCGGUGCAAUACCCUCGAAAAUUUUUUUCUUUAACUAUCGUUUUCCAACUGCAUUACAAGCUCAUAAAGUCCAUCGCUGACUUAUCCCUCAUGACAACUCAAAGCAAGGGUUACGCUCCUAAGAAAUCUACCUGUCACUCAGGAUCAUAAGGUUAUAACCUGUUUCCGCAUGUUUUGGUAUCGUUUUUACCCCUCUGUUACAAGCUUACCAAGCUUAUGUAUUGACUAAGUUUUCUUAAGAAAUUAGGGUGACAAACUAUUUGCUUUCACUAAGAUGUGAUAUCGAAUGGGCACAAAAAUAAGACAAAUCUUGACCUCCCAUUUCCUUUAGCCACUUCCAAAUCAGAAAUAACGCCCACUUGAUUGAUCCUGAAAGAUAAGCCAACAAGAAGUGGUGACCCGUUACCCUAAGCACCGAUGCUAAAAAUGAGGAAGAAAUCUUCUUGAAUUUGGUGUUACUCUGAGGGAUUCAUCAUGAAAUUUCUGCAUGAGUUCAAACUCGACGUUUAAAUUUCUUCACAUUGUAUAUAUGAUUAUUUUCUAAAUUUUAGAAAGUGCGGUUUCUCCUUGUUCAAAUAAAUGGGAAAUCAUCUGAACAAAUUUUUACAAUCAAAGGAGCCCGCACUGGGGCAAAUUUUUAUUUGUGAGAUUUCGCGAAAUAAGCCCACACUGGGGCAGAUUUUGUAACACAUUUGAGGAUUUCGUCCAAGAGUCAAGCAAGAUAUUUUUGAAUCAAUCAUGCUGCUCUUCACAUGAGUAGUAGGUGCAUCAAUAAAAUAAGAAAUUUUAAGUGCAUAUUGUACUUUGGUAAGCCCCCUGUGCAGGAAUUCAUGGCUGAAAUCGAUGGAGAAGCAACUAAUGAUGUGGAAGGCCGAUGCCGGAAAAGAAGAGAAAGAAGAAAGAAGAAGGCCCCACGCUGGGGAUUGGGUCUUAUCCCACAGACAUUAACAAAAAUCACGUUGGGCCUGGAUUUUGUGCCGCCAACAUCACAAAAAUCACGUUGGGCCUGGAUUUUGUUGUGCCGCCAACAUCACAAACAUCACGUUGGGUCUGGAUUUUGUGCCGCCAAAAUCACGUUGGGCUUGGAUUUCGUGCCACCAACAUCACAAAAAUCACGUUGGGCUUGGAUUUUGUACCAUCAACUAAGGCAGGCUCGGGUUUAAUCCCACUGACCAAUGCAUCACACUGGGGCAAAUCUUUGGAUAAAUUCAAGCAAAUCUUAUACAGUUUCUUCAUACAUACCAGCAUUUCUUUACUGCCACUAGCCGUUGGGUCAGUCCCACUAGUGAGCAUUUCAUUUGCACUGCCACUAGCCGUCGGGUCAGUCCCAUGAUUUGAAUUUUGUUCGGGUCAGUCCCAUGAUUUUAAAUUUUGUUCGGGUCAGUCCUACGAUUUAAAGUUUAUUCGGGUCAGUCCCAUGAUUUAAAUUUUGUUCGGGUCAGUCCCAUGAUUUGAAUUUUGUUCGGGUCAGUCCCAUGAUUUAAAUUUUGUUCGGGUCAGUCCUAUGAUUUGAAUUUUGUUCGGGACAGUCCCGUUUUAAAAUUUUCGUCUGGGUCAGUCCUAUUAUAAAUUUUUUUUUAAAGGAGGUCAGUCCUCAUUUUCAAAGACGGCAGUCGUUCGAAUAGUGGCAACCGAAUGACACAGGUAAGUAUUUUGUGUCUACUUAUUUGUCUCAAGUUUUUUCAAAACUCAGACAAAGAGGGGCAAACUACAAACAACAAAUUUUUGAUUUUUUAACUUUAUUUGUUUAAUUAAUUUAAUAGGUUUAUUUGCUUCAAUUCUAGGGUUUUUAUUUUUAUUUUAUUUUAUUUUUAUUUUUUUUCUGGUUUAUUUUAUUUUUUAUUUUUUAUUUAUUUAUUUUUUUCUUCAUACUAAAUUUCAGAAAAACAAAAAUCUGGGCAGGGGAAGACAGCAAGAACAGGGGUAAAAACUGGGGAAAUUGAGGGAGAUUUUGAGCGGAAAAAAGGGAGAAAUGUAGAAAAGGGCGGCGAGGGUUGAAAAAGCUGGAGGAGGAGAACAACAGCGGCUAAAGGGAGGGGGCUUCAGCUUCAAGGAUCCGAAAGGAAAACGUUCAACCACCACUACCAAAUUUCCGACAACCUCAACCGCUGCCACCAUCUCUAACUCCCCAUAGCAUAUUCAACAAAUCCCCCAAUCAACCAUGCCUGCCGCCUUGUGCCUCCUUGGUCCACCAGAAUUCCGCUAUGCACAACCGUCGGUCUCCUUCGCGGACAGUGUCGAAAUCACCACCGCCAUACUCUCAGCUAUCUCAAAUCCUUUCUAGACCCUCUCUUCUCCAUCAUCUCUAUUAUGAUGGAUUCAAAUCCAGUAACAGAGGACGCUCCUCAAAUUCAAUCCAUUCCAAACUCCGAUCCUCCACCGUUUGAUCCAAAAGAACCUGCAAUUCCAAUCUCCUGUCCGCUCAAAACGAUGGAAAAGCUCCAGUUCAGGUCCUACUUCGCCCCCUUCCGUUUCCACUUCAAUAAGUCCAGAGUGAAGUUGCAGCAGCAGCAGUCUUCGGCUGCGGCCUUGCUGCAACGGCGGAAGAUGCUGGGGAAGUCAACGUAAAAAGGAAGACAGCGAAGCAAUCAGGGAGGAUACUUCUGAAAGAGAAACGAGAGCGGAUGAAGGAAAACAAACAGAGAAAAGAAAACAGAGGAAAAUGAAAGAUGAGGAGCCAGAAGAACAAAGGCGGCGGACGAGAUGAAAACAGAGCAAAAGAAAGCGACUGAGGAAUUGAGACUGCUACCAUCUCGUAGGAAUCCUUCACCGCCAUCAGCAAAUCGCCGCCGCUCACAUAAGAGCUCUGUAAGUUGACCCUUUUUCUUUGAAUUUCAAUUUCUUCCCAAGCUCUCUAAGCAUGUCGGCAGUGGUUUCGUUUUAUUGUAAUUGUUUCACUGAUUGUUCAAAAUUAGCAUACGCAUGCUUUAUAUGAUGAUUGGACUGAAUUUCCUUGAUUUUCUGACAAAUUUUUGGGGCUAGUUAUACUGCAAUUUGAGCAAAAAUCUGGUAAAAUUUUAAUGCCUACAACCUGUUCGAUGAAAUACCUGAUUGAAAAUUCUAAUUGAAAGCUGAGUUGUCUGCAAUUUUGCGUGUGAAGAAUCCGGA